UACGUAGGGUGCAAGCGUUGUCCGGAAUUAUUGGGCGUAAAGAGCUCGUAGGCGGUUUGUCGCGUCGAAUGUGAAAACCCGGGGCUCGACCCCGGGCCUGCAUUCGAUACGGGCAGACUAGAGUUCGGUAGGGGAGUCUGGAAUUCCUGGUGUAGCGGUGAAAUGCGCAGAUAUCAGGAGGAACACCGAUGGCGAAGGCAGGUCACUGGGCCGCAACUGACGCUGAGGAGCGAAAGCAUGGGGAGCGAACAGG
rnacentral:rRNA from 1 species